rnacentral:misc_RNA from 1 species
GAAAUGCGAUAAGUAAUGUGAAUUGCAGAAUUCAGUGAAUCAUCGAAUCUUUGAACGCACAUUGCGCCCGCCAGCAUUCUGGCGGGCAUGCCUGUUCGAGCGUCAUUUCAACCCUCGAGCCCCCCCGGGGGCCUCGGUGUUGGGGGACGGCACACCAGCCGCCCCCGAAAUGCAGUGGCGACCCCGCCGCAGCCUCCCCUGCGUAGUAGCACACACCUCGCACCGGAGCGCGGAGGCGGUCACGCCGUAAAACGCCCAACUUUCUUAGAGUUGACCUCGGAUCAGGUAGGAAUACCUGCUGAACUUAAGC